CUAAAUUAUUUUAAACAACAAACAUUGACUUUUCUAAACUAAAACCACCCUGACAUGUGGCCAAAAGUAUCUUUGGGCAUAAUGUAGUGGUAACAUGAUAAGAAACUAUCGCCACUUAUGACAAAGAAUAGCGAUAAGUCGACUCUUGCAAAAGAAGGUUUAGGAGGACACAGUGCUCUCAUGCGGUGGGACUAACGGUUUGUUCUAUUGCCUUAAUCCUUUUAAGGGACAGGAUUUGAACCAGUUGAUAAGGUAGUCUGGAGUGAGGCACGAUCCCAUGCCUUGGCGGCACUGCUGCGUGCUUUCCUUCUGGUUUGUCGUUUUGGCCUUGGAAUGUAGCUUGGAGGGUAGACAUGGUCUCGGGGGAUAAAAGAAGCUGAAACAUGCGAAAAAACGAACUAGGUAGGAAGAAAACUGAGUAUCGAAACGCGUAUGAGUGAUCGAACAAUGAAACGUCUAAGAAAACGAGAGAAAUUACCACGUCGCGUCGCACGACAGGGGAAGGGAAGCUCCCCCGCGUGACGUGAGGGAAGGAUUUGACCUGAUGUUGACUUUAUGGCCCUCACGCUACGCGGUGCCUUAAUUAAUUAUCCCUCGCGCGAUGCAAGGGGACCUAAAUCGAAGAAAGUGUCGUUUGUGAUCAUGAUUUGCAAUGAUAUAUACCAAAUCUAAUCCCAUAAAAUAACAUCAUCAAUCUUGGACGAAAUUCUACAACCCUAGGCGAAAUUCAGAGCUUUGAAACAUCAAAGUGGAAGAAUUUAACGCACAGAAUCACGAAGGUUGAAGAUUCAAAGCACGUGAUUGAAUAUUAUCGGGUUCACACUUCCGGUUUCUCUAGUUCUUUGUUUUUGAUCUUUCAAACCAUGAGUUCUCUACUUAACCUUUGUUUUGUUUUUGUUCAAUCAAUGGUUCUAGGCUAAAUCUUUGUAUAUUACCUAGGUUAAUGAUAAUUACAUGACAAAAUUUAGAUUUUUAUCGGUUUUGAUUCAUGUUUGUGGUUGAUUAAUAAAGUAACGACUUUGGUUUC